ensembl:snRNA U6 U6 spliceosomal RNA
GUGCUCACUUUGGCAGCACAUAUUCUAAAACUGGAACAAUGCAGAGAAGAUUAGCAUGGCCCCUGCGCAAGGAUGACACGCAAACUCGUGAAGUGUUCCAUAUUUUU